rnacentral:rRNA from 1 species
UACGAAGGGGGCUAGCGUUGUUCGGAAUUACUGGGCGUAAAGCGCGCGUAGGCGGAUUUGUAAGUCAGGGGUGAAAUCCCGGGGCUCAACCUCGGAACUGCCUUUGAUACUGCAAGUCUUGAGUCCGAUAGAGGUGAGUGGAAUUCCUAGUGUAGAGGUGAAAUUCGUAGAUAUUAGGAAGAACACCAGUGGCGAAGGCGGCUCACUGGAUCGGUACUGACGCUGAGGUGCGAAAGCGUGGGGAGCAAACAGG